GCAUUCAUUGUGUCCCUGUAGCACGUUGGACUUCUAAUCCAAAGGUCGUGGGUUCGAAUUCCACCUGGAAUGGCA